rnacentral:tRNA from 1 species
GGGCUCAUAGCUCAGGUGGUUAGAGCGCACGCCUGAUAAGCGUGAGGUCGAUGGUUCGAAUCCAUUUGAGCCCACCA